GGACGAACGCUGGCGGCGUGCCUAAUACAUGCAAGUCGAACGGUCUUUCUAUGGAAGCUUGCUUCCACUGAGAAGAUAGUGGCGAACGGGUGAGUAACACGUGGGUAACCUGCCCAUAAGAGGGGGAUAACAUCCGGAAACGGGUGCUAAUACCGCAUAGUUUUCUUGAUUGCAUGAUUGAGAAAGGAAAGACGGCCUUUGUGCUGUCGCUUAUGGAUGGACCCGCGGCGUAUUAGUUAGUUGGUGAGGUAACGGCUCACCAAGACGAUGAUACGUAGCCGACCUGAGAGGGUGAUCGGCCACAUUGGGACUGAGACACGGCCCAAACUCCUACGGGAGGCAGCAGUAGGGAAUCUUCCGCAAUGGACGAAAGUCUGACGGAGCAACGCCGCGUGAGUGAAAGAAGGUUUUUCGGAUCGUAAAACUCUGUUGUCAGAGAAGAACAAGUUGGAGAGUAACUGCUCCAGCCUUGACGGUAUCUGACCAGAAAGCCACGGCUAACUACGUGCCAGCCGCGGC
rnacentral:rRNA from 1 species